AUGUUACAAGCAGGCAGGGUCAUGGUCCUGACCCACUACCUCCUGCUCCUCUUUCUCCUGGCCCUGCAAGCUCAGAACACCCAGAGUACUCAAAUACCUGAGCAGGGAGCAGUUGAGGACAGAAAGGAUUCACCUCCAACUCCUGAAGUAGAUUCCAUGCUGAUUCCAAGCUGGUAUCUCAAACGGAGGGAUUACCAGAAGAUACUUGUGGUUCCAAGAGGGCUUCUAAGAGCAUUGGUAAAAUCUGCAUCUGAGACAGAUCAUGAGAUGGUGGAGAAGGAGACCUUUCCCUUGAGAGAAAAUAACACCAUGCCAAGCACAGAUGAAGAAAAAGAAGCAGUAACAGAUACCAGCACACUUGCUCAUCACGAGAGACAUUCAGGAAGUGAGUGCUUGGGAGAUGUUUGCUUAGGGAAAUAG
ensembl:lncRNA